rnacentral:rRNA from 1 species
GCCGUCGUUCAUACUGCGUCGAAUACAGCGGAUCCCACCUGAACUCCGAAGUUAAGCGGCGCAAGGCCCGGCUAAUGUAGCGGCU